CCCAGCUAAUUUUUAUAUUUUUAGUAGAGACGGGGUUUUGCCAUGUUGGUCGGGCUAGCCUCUAACUCCUGACCUCAGGGGAUCUGCCUGCCUCGGCCUCCCAAAGUUCUGGGAUUACAGGCAUGAGCCACUGCGCCCAGCCCGGUCAGCAAUCUUCUUAAAGGUAGAAACCAUACUUUUCUUCUAUAAUACCAUUUUCAGGAGUGGCGCAAAAUAUGUUUUUAAGAAUUAUGCAAUUGAAUUGAAUUGAGCUACUUCCCGGAUUUAGAAUGACAAAUGCUUUCUCUCCAUCUGCUUAAGAAUGAACUGGCCUUCCCAUUUAGAGGCAAGCAUGCCCAACGCCCAAUGCUAGGCUUUCCCUGGAGAACACAGGACAGCUGAACGCUUGGGGAAGAAUUACUUCUGCUAUGGCACGGUUCUCUUGAGCAGAGAACUUUAAAGGGAUCAUUAUCUGCUUGUAAGGAAUGGAGGUCAGCAUGCCUGAAAACAGGAGUUGUGCAGAUAACCUUGCCAUAUUUAGAAUUCUAUGCCUGGAAACAGCGGAGAAGAUGCUGGUGGAUGUGGAUAUUAAAACCUCCCCCUGGGGGCUAAAAAGAGACAUCAGGAGAGGCUCAGGAUCAAACAAUAUCUCCAUAUGAGUAGCUCCUGGGAAGAAUUAAAGGCGGAACAAUGUUCCGUCUCCGGAGGGAUCUGUACUUGGAAAGAGAACUCAGAGAGCACGUGGUGGCCGGCCCCAUCUGCAGACCCAAAACUAGAGAGUCCACGUUUGCGAACCCAUCUGCACUUUCGACUUUCCCUGAUCACUACGUGUCUGGCUGCUCUCAGACUGCGAUGACAUCAUUUAAAAAAAAUGUAAAUAACUGUCCUUUGGGUCUUUCAAGAACCUAGUGAUUGAGGAGAGGGCAACGGUGAAUCUCGAGGAAGGCUGUGUCGUGGGACCUUCAGGCAUUGUUUAAUCUGUGCAGGGCGCAGUCUUGGGCAGGCCCCAGCCCUCUCCUCUGCCCACUCGCAAAGCCCGGCCUGCUUGCUCCACCGGCAACUGGGCUGGAGGAGAGGCGAGGGGCAGGGUGGGUGCUAAGAUCCUGUGCGAAAAGCCAGGACCCUCGUGGUACCUAGGGAAAUGAAAAUCGCGUUGACAGUAGUCCAACGCUUUCCUUUUCUCAUUCACCCCUCGGGCAGCACAACGAGACAGGCA
rnacentral:lncRNA from 1 species